rnacentral:rRNA from 1 species
UACGAAGGGGACUAGCGUUGUUCGGAAUUAUUGGGCGUAAAGCGCACGUAGGCGGCUUAGCAAGUCGGAAGUGAAAGCCCUUGGCUCAACCAAGGAAGUGCUUUCGAAACUGCUGAGCUUGAGUAGUUAAGAGGAUCGCGGAAUUCCCGGUGUAGAGGUGAAAUUCGUAGAUAUCGGGAGGAACAUCAGUGGCGAAAGCGGCUUCCUGGUCCAGCACCGACGUUCAGGCACGAAAGCGUGGGGAGCAAACAGG